GGGGGGGGGUGUCUCAUGCAUGGUCCAAUUGAGAUUUGAAUAUUUAUGUGCACCUGAUUUAUGCAGAUUGAGGUGGUUCAUGAUCUACUUUCGCCGUAACUAAAGUUGUGUAUUUGCAAACUAACAGCCUCUGUAAACCAAACCGAUGUCACGUUGUACAAUUGCAAAUGAGCCAAUUUGUAUACUGUUGAAAUGCAGCGGCGUGUAUCACAUCACGUGUGGAUCCUAUAACCGUAACCUUAUAAACAGAGGACUUACACUGGUAAUAAGGCGAACAUGGUUGUAUUUUCACUUCACCUGACAGAAAAACAACUGGAUGUUUAUCGCCUCUGCGGGGAGUCCAGCAGCUCUUACGUCAUCGAGUCUGGGCCAAAGGCCACGAUGAAGUUAAUUACCGGACGUGACGUCUGAACAUGAAGAAGUCUCUUCUUACUGUCGAAAUAUAUUCCUCAAUUGACGGAAGGGCGUUUUAUGAAAGUGAUGAACAAAUAGAAAAUAAACUUUGAUAACUGACAUUUUAAUCUUUGGCAAAUCCUUCUUAUUAUGGAGCCUUUUCACAGCAGACUUUUUACCAGCAGGAAAUCACAGGCCUAACUAAUGAUGUUAACAAUGUCUAUUCCAUUGUGUAAAAUAAGAUGCAGCCAUCAUUCUUGUUUUCAGAUCCUUGAUUUUACUAUUAUGAGAUGUCAAAAUGUUACACGGUUAAAACAUAGUUUGUCAUGUAUAUUAUAUUACAUGCCAACCGAAAUUGAUUAAUUACUUUUGCAUGCUUUUAAAGUGAUUUUUAUAGAAAUGCAAUUCUUGUGAGAUUCUUUAUCUUUACUUUCACUGCUCGCGUUAAAGUUGUGUUUAACUGUUUUACCAACAGGUAAACCUAAAAAAGUAACAUGGCCAUUAUUGGGGAAACAAGUUCCAGAUUAUCUUCACACUAAAUUCCCUUUUGCAAACUAUAACUGCCAGCGCAUUAUAUUUGUGAUAAUAAUAUGUAUGUUCAUAUGGAUUAAAGAAGGAACUAUAAUGGCUAAAAUAGGAAUGUAUUCUCCCUUCUUCAUUCUGUAUAUUCAAUUCAAUUCAAUU
ensembl:lncRNA